rnacentral:rRNA from 1 species
AGUGAACGCUGGCGGUAGGCCUAACACAUGCAAGUCGAACGGCAGCAACGUAAGAGCUUGCUCUUACGGGUGGCGAGUGGCGGACGGGUGAGGAAUACAUCGGAAUCUACUUUUUCGUGGGGGAUAACGUAGGGAAACUUACGCUAAUACCGCAUACGACCUACGGGUGAAAGCAGGGGAUCUUCGGACCUUGCGCGAUUGAAUGAGCCGAUGUCGGAUUAGCCAGUUGGCGGGGUAAAGGCCCACCAAGGCGACGAUCCGUAGCUGGUCUGAGAGGAUGAUCAGCCACACUGGAACUGAGACACGGUCCAGACUCCUACGGGAGGCAGCAGUAGGGAAUAUUGGACAAUGGGCGCAAGCCUGAUCCAGCCAUGCCGCGUGAGUGAAGAAGGCCUUCGGGUUGUAAAACCCUGUUGUUGGGAAAGAAAAGCAGCAGGUUUAUACCCCGGUGUUCUGACGGUACCCAAAGAAUAAGCACCGGCUAACUUCGUG